UACGUAGGGACCGAGCGUUGUCCGGAAUCAUUGGGCGUAAAGAGCGUGUAGGCGGCCUUUUAAGUCCUGCGUGAAAUCCUGCGGCUCAACCGCAGACGGUCGUGGGAAACUGGAAGGCUAGAGUGCGGGAGAGGAGAGUGGAAUUCCCGGUGUAGCGGUGAAAUGCGCAGAUAUCGGGAAGAACACCCGUGGCGAAGGCGGUUC
rnacentral:rRNA from 1 species